rnacentral:rRNA from 1 species
UAGGGAAUCUUCCACAAUGGACGCAAGUCUGAUGGAGCAACGCCGCGUGAGUGAAGAAGGUUUUCGGAUCGUAAAGCUCUGUUGUUGGUGAAGAAGGAUAGAGGUAGUAACUGGCCUUUAUUUGACGGUAAUCAACCAGAAAGUCACGGCUAACUACGUGCCAGCAGCCGCGGUAAUACGUAGGUGGCAAGCGUUGUCCGGAUUUAUUGGGCGUAAAGCGAGCGCAGGCGGAAGAAUAAGUCUGAUGUGAAAGCCCUCGGCUUAAACGUGGAACUGCAUCGGAAACUGUUGUUCUUGAGUGCAGAAGAGGAGAGUGGAAUUCCAUGUGUAGCGGUGGAAUGCGUAGAUAUAUGGAAGAACACCAGUGGCGAAGGCGACUCUCUGGUCUGCAACUGACGCUGAGGCUCGAAAGCAUGGGUAGCGAACAGG